rfam:Glycine soja cultivar W05 scaffold1888_6, whole genome shotgun sequence.
CUUUUAUUGGACGUUGACUGUCACGUGUUGUGCUUUUAUUGGACGUUAAUUUUGUGCACCUAAUUAAUGUCAACCUCCAAUAAAAACAUGAUACAUGGCGGUCAACGUUC